AGUGAACGCUGGCGGUAGGCCUAACACAUGCAAGUCGAACGGCAGCACAGUAAGAGCUUGCUCUUACGGGUGGCGAGUGGCGGACGGGUGAGGAAUACAUCGGAAUCUACUUUUUCGUGGGGGAUAACGUAGGGAAACUUACGCUAAUCCCGAAUAUGCCCUACGGGUGAAAGCAGGGGAUCUUCGGACCUUGCCCGAUUGAAUGAGCCGAUGUCGGAUUAGCUAGUUGGCGGGGUAAAGGCCCACCAAGGCGACGAUCCGUAGCUGGUCUGAGAGGAUGAUCAGCCACACUGGAACUGAGACACGGUCCAGACUCCUACGGGAGGCAGCAGUGGGGAAUAUUGGACAAUGGGCGCAAGCCUGAUCCAGCCAUACCGCGUGGGUGAAGAAGGCCUUCGGGUUGUAAAGCCCUUUUGUUGGGAAAGAAAAGCAGCAGGUUAAUACCCCGCUGUUCUGACGGUACCCAAAGAAUAAGCACCGGCUAACUUCGUG
rnacentral:rRNA from 1 species